rnacentral:rRNA from 1 species
CCCUUAGAUGUUCUGGGCCGCACGCGCGCUACAAUGGCAGACUCAGCGAGUUACCUCUGUCGAAAGGCUCAGGGAAUCUUUACAGUAUCUGCCGUGAUGGGGAUAGACCCUUGUAAUUUUUGGUCUUCAACGAGGAAUUCCUAGUAAACGCAAGUCAUUAACUUGCAUUGAUUACGUCCCUGCCCUUUGUACACACCGCCCGUCGCACCUACCGAUUGAAUGGUCCGGUGAAGUCCUCGGACCCAGUUGAACCUCGAGUUGAACAGGGGAAGUUGACUAAAUCUUACCAUUUAGAGGAAGGUGAAGUCGUAACA